CCUACGGGAGGCAGCAGUGAGGAAUAUUGGUCAAUGGGCGCGAGCCUGAACCAGCCAAGUCGCGUGAGGGAGGAAGGCCCUACGGGUUGUAAACCUCUUUUGCCGGGGAGCAACGGGCGCCACGUGUGGCGUCACUGAUAGUACCCGGAGAAAAAGCAUCGGCUAACUCCGUGCCAGCAGCCGCGGUAAUACGGAGGAUGCGGGCGUUAUCGGGCUUUAUUGGGUUUAAAGGGUGCGUAGGCGGAUCGUUAAGUAAGUGGUCAAAUUGAGGGGCUCAACCCCUGCCCGCCAUUGAAACUGGCGGUCUUGAGUGGGAGAGAAGUAUGCGGAAUGCGUGGUGUAGCGGUGAAAUGCAUAGAUAUCACGCAGAACCCUGAUUGCGAAGGCAACAUGCUGGCUUCCGACUGACGCUGAAGCACGAAAGCGUGGGGAUCGAACAGGAUUAGAUACCCGAGUAGUC
rnacentral:rRNA from 1 species